UAGAACAAUAUUUUUUGCUACUUCCCUAUUCUGAAAAGUAUGAGUUUGAUUUUAGUACCUUGACUUACAGAUAAUGAAAAAUUUUACUUCAGUCCAUCUUUCUUAUGUGGAAUUGAAACACAUGGGUCAGCAGCAGAUGGGGCGAUACCCUGUUCAUUUUCACCUGUGUGGUGACGUGGAUUAUAAAGGAGGAUACAGACAUGCAACAUUUGUGGACGGCCUGUCUAUUCAUCACAGCUUCUCAAGGUGCAUCACUGUGCAUGGGACAAAUGGCUUGCUAAUAAAAGACACCAUUGGGUUUGACACACUAGGUCAUUGUUUCUUUUUGGAAGAUGGUAUUGAACAGAGGAAUACUUUGUUCCACAAUCUGGGACUCCUCAC
rnacentral:lncRNA from 1 species